UACGUAGGGUGCGAGCGUUAAUCGGAAUCACUGGGCGUAAAGGGCGCGUAGGCGGAUCUUUAAGUCAGGGGUGAAAGCCUGAGGCUCAACCUCAGAAUUGCCUUUGAUACUGAAGAUCUUGAGACCGGAAGAGGUAAGUGGAACUGCGAGUGUAGAGGUGAAAUUCGUAGAUAUUCGCAAGAACACCAGUGGCGAAGGCGGCUUACUGGUCCGGUUCUGACGCUGAGGCGCGAAAGCGUGGGGAGCAAACAGG
rnacentral:rRNA from 1 species